UCGUUUCGGCACCCAGAUCAGCCUUGCCCUGCUGAAGAGGCCUGAGAGGCCCCUCCCCCCAGACUGAUGAUCUUGUCAGCCUCCAGCUGGGUCAAUUAACAAGCAGCGUCAGCUGUUUAAAACCCACCUGGAACUCAGUUGACGCUCACAGGCCCAGGGAAACGAUGGAGAAAGCUGUUGUCAUUACAGACAUGAAGAGCUUUGAGUGUUCGUCUCCAUCGGACCUUGACAAGAAGUUUUUUGAGGAACAGAGUAUGAUGUCUGCUUUGUCGCUGGAGCAGCUGUCCACAUCACGGGGAUCGAAUGAAACGGUAGCCGAGGGAUCUGACGCCAGGCUGUCGAGUCUGGCGUUUCUCUGCCUGUCGGCAGAUCCCAUUUCUCCCACUCUGACGAUUUCAGUGAACAACUUGAGCACUCAAGAGAAAGACGGUUGUCAACUGACCGUUCCUCUACAGGGAAAGUCCUCCACUCCUUACAUGCUCCUUCAGAAGCAAAAGAAGGCUGGUUUCUUCGACCAGUCGUUCAGUGAUCUCACUGCCUCUCAAAUUUCAUGGGAUGUGUCCGUGAUUAAAUGGGAGAACAGCCCCAAACCUUGCAUUGAGUGCAGUGCUCUGGAAUCAACAUGGAGUCCAAAACCUCAGUCUACAAAACUUUAAUUAGCUGGAGUUUCUCCCUGAUUAUGUCCUAACACACUUGCAUGAAGAAAAUUCAGAACUUCAGAAGGAAAAAUUAUGACUAUACAUGAGUUACAUCCUCUGCACUCACCAUGUAUUAUGAAUAAAUAAAAGUUGAUUUUAAAGCACUGGAUCAAAAUGUAAAGGAUCUAUGGGAGGACUCAUAUCGGGAGCUUUGGCUAAAAUGUUUUUAAAUAUUUGAAUAUUAAAUAAAAGUGAUUCUUAUUUUA